CCUGCUUCAUAAAUUGAGAAGAUUGUCAUUAGUGACCACUUAAAGUUCAUAUGAUUGGCUGACAUUUCAACAUACAACCUGCACAACUGCUGUUUCGGGCAGCACAAACACCCCUCUGUUCUCUACUCCGCUUAGUACGAUCCAGGAUCCCCCUUCUAUAAAUCACAUUGGAUUCAUCCACUUCUUGUUUGACAGUCUGACCUUUCACCUCGGCUUGGCGGCAGCACGGACGGGACCACAUGCUACAAACAUUCCGAUGGUCUAAAGAAGACAACACGACAGAGCAGUGAACACACCAGCGAUCAAGCCGGAGAAGCUGGUCUCUGUGACCACUAUCACUAUCUAUUGACAGAGGUCAGCGCCGUCGUGACCAAUCCGAGCGCUCCGUUACGGCUGCACGGACGGAAAGCCGCCGCCUUUGGUUCGGAUCAGGCUGACUUUGAUAGUCUGCUCCCCGCUCUGGAGGUCUGGGCGCAGCAGCUCCAGCUGCUGGAGAUGUCCCGCCACCAGGAGACCAGGACCAGGACCGGCACGCCGCUCCAACUCCGGCUCUUCACUCCUUGCGGGUUUCUUUUAUCUUCACAUGUUUUAUUCUUACACAAAAUGCUCACUUUUCAAUCCUGUGGCUUUCACUCUUACAACAGAGAGAUUUCAUUUAUCCAGAAAAUUCAAUCAAAUACAUGCAUUUUCAUCUCAAUUUAGUCUUCCCUCAACAUAGGUACAAGCCACCACCUGUAAUUUCACAUCAUAGACAUCAGUUGUUCUUGUCAAUAAAACUCACACUUCCCCAAAUCUAGGAGAACUGUUGUAAUACAAAUUUCACUUGGCUUUUCUAUGAUUCAAUGAAAAAAUGACAUAGUAUAAUAAGACAUAAAAACAUUCAAAUAGUUAUAGUAUAGUAAGAUAUGGAGACGUCAUAGUAUAGUAAGGCCUUAAAAGCGAAAAGAUGACAUUCUAUGGUAUUGCAAAAAAAUGUGAAAAAACAACAUAGUAUAGUGAGGAAUAAAAACAUCCAAAAAGGUCAUAGUAUAUUAAGGUAUAAAGACGUCAUCGUAAAGUAAGGCCAGAAAAGUCGUAAGGUGUGUGUGUGUGUGUGUGUGUGUGUGUGUGUGUGUGUGUGUGUGUUUUUCAGGGCCGUCUAUCAGGACGCAGACAUCUACCUCCUGGACGAUCCUUUAAGCGCAGUGGACGCUGAGGUCGGGAAACAUCUUUUUGAGCAGUGCAUCUGCGGCCUGCCGAAGAACAAGUGUCCCGUCCCGGUCGCCCACCAGCUGCAGCACCUCAGGGCCGCCGACCAGAUCCUGGUCCUGAAGCAGGACCGCUUUCUCAACGAGGGCCAGUACAAUGCGGGAUUAUAAAGCACGGAUCAGCACCGACUGUCCGAAACCCAACUUCAAAUUUGGGAACUGCCAGCACAUCAGCUUCCUGCAACAAUACCUGGCUGCCAUGUCUUACAAUGAAAAUGCUGACCGACCGAAAGCCCAAACAAAAGAAGGUGAACCACUGUUCAAGGUCCAUUUUCCAAAGGCCAUGAAGGGGGAAUGCAGAGCUACACCAGUUAAGACUAUAAGUGUUAUAUUAUUUUAUUUUUCAACCAAAAAAUGUUUUGUACACAUUGUAAGUAUUAAGUAUGUAAGCAUAAUGUUAUGACAGUUCCACCGACAACAAAAUACAGUAAAGAAAAUGUCAGGAGAUAGUUAGAAAUAGACUUUCAAUCAAUCAAGUUUUGGUGCAAAAACAACACUGCUCAUCACCAAAAGAACACCAUACCUACAGUGAAGGGUGGUGGUGGUGGUGGCAGCGUCACGCUUUGGGGCUGUUUUUCUUCAGCUGGAACUGGGGCCUUAGUCAGGGUGGAGGGAAUUAUGAACAGUUCCAAAUACCAGUCAGUGUUGGCGCAAAACCUUCGGCCUUCUGUUAGAAAGCUGAAGAUGAAGAGGAACUUCAUCUUUCGGCAUGAUCUAAAUCAACCAAAGAAUGGCUUCACCGGAAUAAGAUUGAGGCUUUGGAACCGGCCGGAGUCCAGACCCGGAUCCCAUCGAACAUCUGUGGGGUGAUCUGAAGAGGGCUGUGCACAGGAGAUGCCCUUGUGAUCUGUCAGAUUUGGAGCGGUUUUGCAAAGAAGAGUGGGCAAAUAUUGCCACAUUAAGAUGUGCCACGCUGAUAGGUUCCUACCCAAAAAUAGUGAGUGCUGUAAUAAAAGCCAAAGGUGCUGCAACAAAGUAUUAGUUUAAGGGUGUGCAUAUUUAUGCAACCACGUUCUUUUAAGUUUUUUAUUUUAUAUUUUUCCCCUUUAAAGGUUUCAGUUUGUUUUUCAAUUGCAUUGUACAGGUUAUAGGUCACAUUAAAGGUGGAAAAAGUUGUGAAAU